CCUCGCCUUCCUCCCUCGCAAUUAGGUGGACGGUCUUCCCCCUCUUCCCUCGCCCCAGUCUGGGAUGAUAAUUAAAAUUUAAUGAAGCCUGGGAGUAGCGGAGCUCUGCCUGGGGACCGCGGGAUGGAAUAUUUUAACUGUACGUUUACACCAAGUGUCUGGCUUCAAAGACGUGACUGCUUUUAAUCUCGAAUUAGAAAACCACAGACCUGAAAUUAAAUAUUAGCCACCCCCGGCUCCCCGUCCUUCCCGGCGCGCUGUCACGGCCGUGUCUCCCUGCCCUGCCCCACGACACCCCCCCGCUCCCCAAUUACCCUUUCGUUAAUAAUAGAUGGCUUCGCGAGGGCGCGGUAUUCCGGGCCUUGCCGAUUUUUUUUUCUUCCCCCCCCCCCCCCCCCCCCUUUUUUUUUUUUUUUUUUUUUUUUCCCCCCCCCCCCCCCCCCCUUUUUUUUUUGUAUUUAAUAGGGUUAAUGCAAUAUUAAUUGCUGGCGGCUGCUAUAAGAGCGCGCCGCGUUUUUCCAGGGACAAAUCGAUGGAGCGGGGCAGCCGGCGCGCAGGGAGGAGGCGGAGGCGCAGCCCCGGGGCCGCGCAGGUUUUGCCAAACGCAUCAGCCACCAGGCUCCGGUGGUGCCAGUGUGCUGAGGGGCCCUGCACGCACCCAGCGCCGCCCUACGCAGCUGCGGGCCCGCUGCCAGAGCAGGGGCACAGCGCGGGUGAGAGCGGGCAGGAAAGGGGAAAAAAUGCACCAGAGGGAGAAAUCCUAUUGUCACAUGUCAACCAGUUACUCAAAUCGUAACCCUGAAGAAAACCAGUGAAUUGAGUUAUUACUACAGCAAAAGCUAUUGCUUGCUCAAAGACUGUCAUAAAAACUGAUUACAGGUCUAAUGGACCUUGCUUCAAACUCUGACUCCGGAAACCUCCGUUUAAAGACAGGAAAGAUCAAUUAUUGGGAUUCAUAAAGCUUUGUUUAUGUAGCUCAAAAGAAAGAUUUUCUAAUAUAUGAAAUUAAAAAAGCUUGCAUGAAUUUUCCUAAAUAAAAUCCAAAGGUUCCAAAUCCUGCUUCGGCAUAUAUUUUGUGAGUCAAUAACCACCACCUUCUGUCCUUUAACUGUUCUUGGGGCCAGCAGUGACAGUGGCUGGGAAAUGCCCCCUGAGAAUGGUGAAGACCACAGGAGUCAGACUGCUGCGGGUGAUGGGUGGAACACACAGCCAGGAAUGUCAGCACCUCAAAACAGGAGACAAUUCUCCACACACCCUCUACAAUCGGGGCUUCAGAAUAUUUAUCAGAAAGAGUCCAAGCAGAUUUUUACUUUUCCAGAUUGUGUGAAUGAACACAGGCUUUACUAAAAGGGAAAUUUCAUUUUCCGUGUUGAAAAGGUGACAUACAUGUAUUCUGCUAGAUGCACUUUCACUAUUAAAUAUACUCAUUUCAGCUGUGCCUAUAGAUUGAUGUUUCACUUGAGACAGUCAAUGGCAUUUCAAAUGCUUUGGUUGUACAGAUUUUCAGCAGUUUCUUAAGUGUGCUCAACCAGAUUUUAAAGAAACUUAGUUGUGUUUGGGUCUGACCUGCAUUAUAAACAAGAUCAAAACUGCACCACAGUGGGCCACCCAGGCUGGAUCUAUUCCGUUCAGGUCAUUGUUGAACCACAACUGUUAAGUACAGAAGCUAAAAAUCACCGAUAGUUCUAGAUAUAAGGCAUCAAGCUUGUAGUUUUUUUGUUUGUUUGUUUUUCCUGAAUGGGACAAUAAUUAGGGAUUUAAAGCAAAUAUUCCAGACAUUUAGAAAUUGAUCUUCCAAGGUAUUGAGCAUCUUGGAUUCAUAUUUACUUCAGCAGGCAUAAAGGAUAUUUGGUAUCUUAAUCGGAGGAUCUUGACACUUUGGAACACAAUAAGCAUUAGUGGCACAAACAACAGACAUCCUGUUCUGUAUUAUUCUUUUCCUUUUGUAUUUAUGUCAAUGACACUAGAUACUUUUCAUAAAAACGAUGAGGCCACUCUUAGACAGACAAGAACUUAGAGCUCUCAGGUAUUUAUACUGCACCACUGUGCACCCACUUAAAUGACAGAAUUUCCACCAAAAUCCUUACUUUGUUACAUGAGUCUUCAAGGAUCUUCCAGUUUUUAUAAUAGACAUCUAUCAGCUUCUCUGUAAGCAAGCAGGUGUUCUCUGUAAUGAAAAAAGGCAAAUAAUAAAUACCAAAUGUUGUAAGUUUAUAUACUUGCUGAUAUCUAUGUAUUUUGUGUUUCACUUCAGCAUCUGGUUAAUAGAUUUGCUUUUGUCUCAAAGGC
ensembl:lncRNA